UACGGAGGAUGCGAGCGUUAUCCGGAUUUAUUGGGUUUAAAGGGUGCGUAGGCGGGCUUUUAAGUCAGCGGUAAAAAUUCGGGGCUCAACCCCGUCCGGCCGUUGAAACUGGGGGCCUUGAGUGGGCGAGAAGAAGGCGGAAUGCGUGGUGUAGCGGUGAAAUGCAUAGAUAUCACGCAGAACCCCGAUUGCGAAGGCAGCCUUCUGGCGCCCUACUGACGCUGAGGCACGGAAGUGCGGGGAUCGAACAGG
rnacentral:rRNA from 1 species